rnacentral:lncRNA from 1 species
CCGACGUAAGUGAAUUUUUGCACCAACAGUAUUCUUCUUAUCCUAAUUUAUAUUUAUUAUGCUUUGAUUAUUAUAGUCAAGAGUUUCUGGGCAUUAGGGCUUCUGGUGCAUUGGGUGUUUUGAAUAAAAAUUUUAAACACCUAACCCUUCCGCUGUGCCACUGAAACCCAACAAAGGCACCAUUAAGGAGAUCCGAUAGAGUACCGCAUCCGUUGGAUAGAUACUUUGGUUUCUAGUUUCAGGAUAUGAUCCGGUUGAACUUGAUGAGAACAAUAAGGAUUCGAUCACCUACAUGGAUGCCAUGCAGAGGUCUGACUCCAAUUAGUGGCUUGGAGCCAC